rnacentral:rRNA from 1 species
UACGUAGGGUGCAAGCGUUAAUCGGAAUUACUGGGCGUAAAGCGUGCGCAGGCGGCUUUGCAAGACAGAUGUGAAAUCCCCGGGCUUAACCUGGGAACUGCAUUUGUGACUGCAUCGCUGGAGUACGGCAGAGGGGGAUGGAAUUCCGCGUGUAGCAGUGAAAUGCGUAGAUAUGCGGAGGAACACCGAUGGCGAAGGCAAUCCCCUGGGCCUGCACUGACGCUCAUGCACGAAAGCGUGGGGAGCAAACAGG